GAGGAGCCAGUAGGAGUAUGAGAGGGAGGUGGAGGCGGCGGAGGAGGGGACGGGGAUGACGGGGACAGAUCGGACUACACACCGGAGGACGAGGGCAUCACACCGCCUACCGAUUCCUUCUUCCUCGCGUCCCGGUUACAUGGCCGUCGCUGCAGUCGCCCAACAUCGACCACCUUGCCCCGAUUAGCUCUUGGGUACGCGGACGACCGGAUGUGCUCCAGCGCGGCCGCCUAUGGGCUGGUCCCACGAUGAAUCGACAACUAAGCUCGGGGACGUGAUAUGGUGCUCGGUGUAGGUGGCCAUGGUGGACCUGAAGCUGGCUUAGAUAAGCGAUGGGAUCGAGCGGCGGCGCUCCCGAUCUGAUCGGGAGCAGGACGACGACGGCGAGCACAUGGCGGACGAGAGGAGCAGGAGGGGAGGCGCGGAGGCGGGGCCAUAUGUGUCGGACGCGCGCGUUCGCCCGCAGUCAACGCGGACACAGCGGCCGUCCAUGGCGGCUCGGGUCGAUGUAGGAGGAUGAGGGGAGGAGCUCGCAAGGCCCGACACCGGUAAUGGAGCGGAGGCGGCUGGAUCUGGCGAUUCUAGAGGGGCUGACGACGAGCGGCUCCAUGGGCGGCGACCUGCGGGGUUCAAGCGGCGGCUGAAGGUUUGUCAGAUAUACUUCCAUUUUAUGCAUGGGUUGAUCCCUCCCCUGGAUACUGUCAAGGUAUGAGCGAUCUGGUUUCCUCUUUUGUUGUUCUAUACGAGGAUGAUCCAGAUGCCUUUUGGUGUUUUGAGAUGCUACUGAGAAGGAUGCGUGAAAAUUUCCACCUCGAGGGACCGACAGGAGUUAUGAAGCGGUUGGAAGCAUUGUGGAAGAUCAUGGAAUUGACAGAUACGGAACUAAUAAACUGGUAAGGAUCAAACAGGCAAAUGGAGUCCUAAUUUUCUAUUGGAAGUUCACAUGACAUGGUUCUAUGUUUGAGGCUUCAACAGACUGCGUAUGCCUCAAGAUUUGAGGUGUGAGUGUGCGACUUGAUUUUCUGUGUUGUUACAGUUAAUCGGUAAUGGAUAAAUCAAAUUUUGUUAUGUAGAUUGGUAAAACUAAUUAAGUUAAUUUUUUCUUA